UGCAGUCGAGCGAACAGAUGAAGUGCUUGCACUUCUGACGUUAGCGGCGAACGGGUGAGUAACACGUAAGGAAUCUACCUAUAAGCGGGGGAUAACAUUCGGAAACGGGUGCUAAUACCGCAUAAUAUCUUCUUCCGCAUGGAAGAAGAUUGAAAGACGGCUCUGCUGUCACUUAUAGAUGACCUUGCGGUGCAUUAGUUAGUUGGUGGGGUAACGGCCUACCAAGACGAUGAUGCAUAGCCGACCUGAGAGGGUGAUCGGCCACAUUGGGACUGAGACACGGCCCAAACUCCUACGGGAGGCAGCAGUAGGGAAUCUUCCGCAAUGGGCGAAAGCCUGACGGAGCAAUGCCGCGUGAGUGAAGAAGGCCUUCGGGUCGUAAAACUCUGUUAUAAGAGAAGAACAAAUUGUAGAGUAACUGCUACAGUCUUGACGGUAUCUUAUCAGAAAGCCACGGCUAACUACGUGCCAGCAGCCGCGGUAAUACGUAGGUGGCAAGCGUUGUCCGGAUUUAUUGGGCGUAAAGGGAGCGCAGGUGGUUUCUUAAGUCUGAUGUGAAAGCCCACGGCUUAACCGUGGAGGGUCAUUGGAAACUGGGAAACUUGAGUACAGAAGAGGAAUGUGGAACUCCAUGUGUAGCGGUGGAAUGCGUAGAUAUAUGGAAGAACACCAGUGGCGAAGGCGACAUUCUGGUCUGUUACUGACACUGAGGCUCGAAAGCGUGAGGAGCAAACAGGAUUAGAUACCCUGGUAGUCCACGCCGUAAACGAUGAGUGCUAGGUGUUGGAGGG
rnacentral:rRNA from 1 species